rnacentral:rRNA from 1 species
UACGGAGGGUGCAAACGUUGCUCGGAAUCAUUGGGCGUAAAGCGCACGUAGGCGGACCAUCAAGUCGGAUGUGAAAUCCCUCGGCUUAACUGAGGACGUGCAUUCGAAACUGAUGGCCUUGAGUACGAAAGAGGAUCGCGGAAUUCCCGGUGUAGAGGUGAAAUUCGUAGAUAUCGGGAGGAACACCAGUGGCGAAGGCGGCGAUCUGGGUCGAUACUGACGCUGAGGUGCGAAAGCGUGGGGAGCAAACAGGG